GGGUGGGGGGACCAACCCGUGGGAAAACUACCGGCUAAUACGGCAUGAUCCCUUGAAGGGGCAAAAGGCGAAAAUCGCCUAAGGAGGAGCCUGCGUCUGAUUAGGUAGUUGGUGGGGUAAAGGCCUACCAAGCCUGCGAUCCAGUAGCUGGUCUGAGAGGAUGAUCAGCCACACUGGGACUGAGACACGGCCCAGACUCUUACGGGAGGCAGCAGUGGGGAAUAUUGGACAAUGGGCGAAAGCCUGAUCCAGCAAUGCCGCGUGGAUGAAGAAGGUCUUCGGAUUGUAAAGUCCUUUUGGCGGGGACGAUGAUGACGGUACCCGCAGAAUAAGCUCCGGCUAACUUCGUGCCAGCAGCCGCGGUAAUACGAAGGGGGCUAGCGUUGCUCGGAAUGACUGGGCGUAAAGGGCGCGUAGGCGGACGGCACAGUCAGGCGUGAAAUUCCUGGGCUCAACCUGGGGACUGCGUCUGAUACGUGUUGUCUUGAAUAUGGAAGAGGGUUGUGGAAAUUUCCAGUGUAGAGGUGAAAAUUCGUAGAUAUUGGAAAAGAACACCGGGUGGCGAAAGGCGGCAACUUGGUUCCAUUACUGACGCUGAAGGCGCGAAAAGCGUGGGGAGCAAACAGGAAUUAAAUACCCUUGGUAUUCCACGCUUGUAAACGAUGUGUGCUGGAUGUGGGGUGCUUAGCACUUCAUGUCGUAACUAACGCGGUAAGCACACCGCCUGGGGGAGUACGGGCCGCAAGGUUGAAACUCAAAGGAAUUGACGGGGGCCCGCACAAGCGGUGGAGCAUCUGGUUUAAUUUGAAGCAACGCGCAGAACCUUACCAGGAUUUGACAUGGGGAGUACCGGUCCAGAGAUGGACUUUCCCGCAAGGGGCUCCCGCACAGGUGCUGCAUGGCUGUCGUCAGCUCGUGUCGUGAGAUGUUGGGUUAAGUCCCGCAACGAGCGCAACCCUCGCCUUCAGUUGCCAGCAUGUUUGGGUGGGCACUCUGAAGGAACUGCCGGUGACAAGCCGGAGGAAGGUGGGGAUGACGUCAAGUCCUCAUGGCCCUUAUGUCCUGGGCUACACACGUGCUACAAUGGCGGUGACAGUGGGAAGCCAGGUGGUGACACCGAGCUGAUCUCAAAAAGCCGUCUCAGUUCGGAUUGCACUCUGCAACUCGAGUGCAUGAAGGUGGAAUCGCUAGUAAUCGCGGAUCAGCAUGCCGCGGUGAAUACGUUCCCGGGCCUUGUACACACCGCCCGUCACACCAUGGGAU
rnacentral:rRNA from 1 species